rnacentral:rRNA from 1 species
ACGCUCGACACCUACGUGAGGCAGCAGUCGGGAAUAUUGCGCAAUGGAGGAAACUCUGACGCAGUGACGCCGCGUAUAGGAAGAAGGUUUUCGGAUUGUAAACUAUUGUCGUUAGGGAAGAAAAAGGACAGUACCUAAGGAGGAAGCUCCGGCUAACUACGUGCCAGCAGCCGCGGUAAUCUGAGCGGGCUGGCAAGGC